UACGGGGGGAGCAAGCGUUGUUCGGAAUUACUGGGCGUAAAGGGCGCGUAGGCGGCCUCCGCAAGUCAGUUGUGAAAUCUCCGAGCUUAACUCGGAAAGGUCAACUGAUACUGCGGGGCUAGAGUGCGGAAGGGGCAACUGGAAUUCUUGGUGUAGCGGUGAAAUGCGUAGAUAUCAAGAGGAACACCUGCGGCGAAGGCGGGUUGCUGGGCCGACACUGACGCUGAGGCGCGAAAGCUAGGGGAGCGAACAGG
rnacentral:rRNA from 1 species